ACCCUCUCUAGGUCGAUCUUUCUCAAUCAAAAACACACAAACACAACAAAUAAACCCUAUCUCUGUCUCAAUCCUUCUCUAUAUCGAUUCUUGAUCAAUCGAAAAACCCCCUCUAUUUCGAUCCACGCCUCUCUGUCUCGAUCCUUCUCUAUCAGAAACACAGACACAACAAAUAAAACCAUUCAUCGAUUCGUGAUCAAUCCAUAUAUACACCGCUACCAGCAGCUCGAUUCGUGACGCCACCAACAGAUUCGUGAUCAAUCCAUAUAUACACCGCCACCAGCAGAUCGAUUCGUGCUCAAUCGAUAUAUAGGGAAAGACAUCGCCACCAGCAACGAUCUAUUAAUUAAACCCGCCAUCAAAAGCAUUGUUGAUCAUGGAUGUUUUAAAGAAUGGAUGGAUGGCCACGAUGAAUCUGGUUCAAAUGAUACAAUGCAAAAUGCUCUCUUUUCUGCCAGUGAGACCACCAAGGUGGUUGCUACCUUUUAUAGACAGAAUUGGACCAUCCAACCCAAGCUCAUCAAGGUUAAAGUAGGUUAGGAUGAUAUACAUUUUUCAUUUGAUGAUAUUUGGUUCUCAAGUUUAAGGUCCAUCUGUUUGCCUCAUUUCGCUUAUCACUUUCGUACUUUUGUUAACAAAACUAUAAUCUUGCAAGUAUUACUAUUCAGAGGUUUAUCAAGCUUCAGUGCCUACUUCUGGAUUUAAUCUACCAGAAUCUGUGUUUUCACAUGGACAACUUUAUGUGGCAUUAUAAAGAGGGUUUUUACGACAAAAUACCAAGGUGUUACUCAAUCUUGCCAAAAAACUUUAAACAUCCUGUAGUGUUCACCUCAAAUGUUGUCUACCGGGAAGUGUUACGUGACGAACGAACCAUAUAUAAUGAGCUAAAUUUUAUAUCUUUUUGAACAUUUGUACCCAUUCCUUUUGCCUUGUAUAUUGGUUAUACCUUAUGAUCAACUGAAUUUUAGGUUAUAUAAACAUUUGUAACCAUUACAUGGAUCCUGAGGCUGAAUUUUCGUCUCUUGGUUGUAUUCCAACUACAAUAUUAUUUGGUGAAGUAUCUUCAUCAUUUAGUUCAUAAUUGAUUUUGGUUUUCAUUUGCU